ensembl:miRNA
CCCAGUGUGUAUGUAGAGGAAAGAGGGAGGCUGGGAACCUGACUGCUUCUCCCUCUUUACCCACUAG